rnacentral:misc_RNA from 1 species
GAUGAAGAACGCAGCGAAAUGCGAUAAGUAAUGUGAAUUGCAGAAUCCAGUGAAUCAUCGAAUCUUUGAACGCACAUUGCGCCCCUUGGUAUUCCGGGGGGCAUGCCUGUUCGAGCGUCAUUAUAACCCCUCAAGCUCAGCUUGGUGUUGGGGCCUGCCGACUGGCAGCCCUUAAAAUCAGUGGCGGCGCCAUCUGGCUCUAAGCGUAGUAAUUUCUCUCGCUAUAGAGUCCCGGUGGAUGCUUGCCAGCAACCCCCAACUUUCUAUGGUUGACCUCGGAUCAGGUAGGGAUACCCGCUGAACUUAAGCAUAUCAAUAAGCGGAGGA